rnacentral:rRNA from 1 species
AACGAACGCUGGCGGCAUGCCUAACACAUACAAGUCGAACGAGACCUUCGGGCCUAGUGGCGCACGGGUGCGUAACGCGUGGGAACCUGCCCUUAGGUUCGGAAUAACUCCCCGAAAGGGGUGCUAAUACCGGAUAAUGUCUUCGGACCAAAGAUUUAUCGCCUUUGGAUGGGCCCGCGUUGGAUUAGCUAGUUGGUAGGGUAAAAGCCUACCAAGGCGACGAUCCAUAGCUGGUCUGAGAGGAUGAUCAGCCACACUGGGACUGAGACACGGCCCAGACUCCUACGGGAGGCAGCAGUGGGGAAUAUUGGACAAUGGGCGAAAGCCUGAUCCAGCAAUGCCGCGUGAGUGAUGAAGGCCUUAGGGUUGUAAAGCUCUUUUACCCGGGAUGAUAAUGACAGUACCGGGAGAAUAAGCUCCGGCUAACUCCGUG